GACGAACGCUGGCGGCGUGCCUAAUACAUGCAAGUCGAACGCAGUGGGGACGGGUGAGUAACACGUGGGUAACCUCCCAUCAGAGGGGAUAACACUUGGAAACAGGUGCUAAACCGAUACUGAUGGAUGAACCCGCGGUGCAUUAGCUAGUUGGUGAGGUAACGGCUCACCAAGGCCACGAUGCAUAGCCGACCUGAGAGAGUAAUCAGCGACACAGGGACUGGAACACGACCCCGCCUCCAACGGGAGGCAGCAGUAGGGAAUCUUCGGCGAUGGACGAAAGUCUAGACGAGCAACGCCGCGUGAGAGAAAAAGGUUUUCGGAUCGUAGAACUCUGUUGUUAGAGAAGCGGUAUCUAACCAGAAAGCCACGGCUAACUACGUGCCAGCAGCCGCGGUAAUUC
rnacentral:rRNA from 1 species